UUCACUUGCGGAGAUACCGGGGAAUCUUGCAUUCUUCUUUCUGCCAACCAACCCAGCAGAUCCUCCAGUUUUCCAUCGGUACCAGGUUACAAGCAACCCAACGCUACCAUUGGGACCCACCCGUUGGCUCCGCCUUUUCUACCUUUCUCUCGCCACAACACGGGUACCCAAGCGGGUAGCGAAUGAUAAAUCUCCAUCACCCUUCCUCGCUUUCAAUUCUUUUUCUUCGACGAUUUGAUUCGCUUUUCAAAUCGCAUCCCUUCUCCACCGAUCCAGAAGAACGGCCGGCGUCGGACGAUGGCCACCCGGUGAGUGAGUUCUAUCUUCCCUUCUCCCUCUCCGCUCGCGAUUCGACUUGUCGAUCUCUGGACGCAGCGGUUUAUCGAUCUUUUCCUAUCCUUGUUCUCUCUCUUCUCUUUCUGGAUGUAACAAUGGGGGAAUCGGUCGAUAAACCUCUGCAUCCGGACUUCCGCAUCCUCCUCCCUCUUCUUUUUUUCUUGAUUUAUCCGUUUGAUUAUUUGGAUCUUGCGAGGGGGAUGCGUUGUUCUUGCAAUCUGAACUUGCAGAUCCACUGGCACUGUGAUUGAUGCCGAGUCGGUUGGAAAUUUGUCCGGUGACAAUACUAUGAUCUCUCAACUUUUCUUUCCUGUAAAUCUAUUCGGAAAUGCUUAUCUAUGUUGUUCUUAGCAACGGAAGGCCAGAAAUUUGUCUUUUUUUGGAAGCUAUGCAGGUCCUUGCGGCUGUUGGGUACUUUCGAACCUGAUGAUUGUUAGCCUGAGCUUGAAUCAGCAAUUGACAUUCACAAACGGGAUCCAAGACAAUGGGACAAGUGAGACAGGAAGCAUUGGCUAGUGAGCCAGCUCGGGACCACGACAGCACAACCCGAAGAUAUUCCAGUUUAGUUUUCGCAUUAACUUAUGUCUUAAGAACCAUCUAUAUAAUUGUCUUGAAUUGAGAACUCACUAUGGAAGUAUGAACAAGUGACAUCCAUAGUUAUAUUUAUAUGAUUUGUUAAAAAAAAAAAAAAACUUGAGGCGUUACAGGAUUGGUCUCGACCCAGCCAAUCUGGUUGGUCCAGUCAGAGAAGCAUAAGCAACACCGCCAACUUAUUGGGAAUACAAUAUGUAAGUCACAUUCUUGUGUGUUAUACAACAUCAAUGAGCAGAAACCAAUUUACUUGAAA